UUAAUAUAUAGUUUGUUGGUAAUGUAUUCCUCUCUUUGUAGGUGUUAGCUUCAAUUAUCCGACUGACAGAUGACACAACCAUUAAAAACUGUUCAAAUACGCAGAUUAGCUAAUCGAUGGACAAAAUCUGCAGGAGCUCCAACUACUCCACACACUUGACAGCAACAGAACUCGCUUGCGUGAGCUCCUCCUUAUACAUUGAUCGGAUACAAAUUCCCUACGGCUUGGAAAUCUCGAGGUUUCGUAUUAUGUUUUGUCUUCCUCGGGUCGUUCAAAGGCAAAGACAUAGUCUCACCAUUUGAACAAUUAAGAUUAAGAUUUUCAAGACGAGUGGUUCUCAACUAAGCCUAUAGUCUAAUUACAAUGCAAAGCCACUAAUCCAAUGUAACGAAGCCAAAUACAAAAUAUGUGGAAUCUACGAAGAAGACAACUUUUAUAUAUGAUUCACGGCUGAGAGUAAAUACGCACAUGCACAACAAAUUAAAUGUUAAUUUUCUCUGCCAUGGGUGCUCACAAGUGGAGGCUGCUGAAUGCAUCCACCCAUGGAAUUGUCAAAGCUCUAUUUGAAUCUUACCGUGGGCUGCAGAAGGUAAAUCAGUUUUACUAGACUGUUUUUUUAUUUAAGUUUUUGUUUCAAUAUUGAAUACUCUCCUGCUAAUGUAAGGAAUAGUAAGUUUGCCCAUGCUGGAAAAAUAGAAUAUCAUCUCUCAUCUAAUGUGCUCGAGCUGAUAUGGUGUACAAGGUAAAUGGCAGAUAAUUCUACACUGGGAUUAGCCAAGAAAAUCAAGAAUGAGGCGCGAAAAUUGUUCUUAAGCGAGAUAUAUCUAGAGGCUUUAUUGGUCACAAUGGAGAGGUAGAGGAGCUUGUGUGUGUUUGUUGAUAAACUGAAAAAGUAAUAGAGAGACAGAUGAUUUUCACGGAAUGCUUGUGGUGAGAGGAAGAUGAACCAUAGAGAACGAUGUGUAACAACCUGCUUAUGAGUAUAUUAGUAUAUAUGAUGCUGAUGCUGACAAGACUGGUCAUUGAAUUUGGUCAUACAUAUAACCUCAUCAAAUAAUUAUUUUAAGUACAUAUAAGAGAAUUUCUAGGAGGCAAUUUUUGAUGUUGUUGCAGGGGACCAUGAUUAAUGACCAAAUGAUGCUGCACCAUGUCACUAAGUGUAGGCACGAAGCAUAUCUAGCCUCGAGGUUGAUGUCAUGGUAUGGGAGAGAAGUCAGACGAAGCUUAAGCUUCUGGCUUAAUUGACGAGGCUAACAAAACAUUUGCAAAAGACCUGGAUGAGAGGAGUUCGGAAAACAAAACUUAAGGAUAUAGAGAGGGGAGGUAGCUAGAGAAGUUCAUCGGCGUCUAUCAGAAACUCUGAGAGGCCCACAAAUGCCACAAUGGAAAAAUGUUAAGAGUAAGUUUGUUAGCAGGUACAAUGAGGUAGCUCUUUCAUUACAGCCAUUUCCUAAUUUUAUGUUUGCGAGCUUUUAACUAAAUAUGCAUGAAAAGGUGACAGACCAAACUAUAGUGUUUAAGUUAUAUCUCCCUCGAGAUUUCCGUAGUCUUCUACCUAAUGAACCCAUGUGGGAUCAUGCAUUCAUGCCUAUGGGUUUGGUUUCCGGUGAGUUUAUAAGAUUUUACACAUUAAUCUUAGAGAAAUUCAGUGUUAACAUAAUUACAGUGAAAUAAUCUAAGACCAGCAAGAUUAGCCCUUAAGCAUUAACUACUAAGAAUCUGAUAACGCAAAAUGUAUACAAUAUAAUUACCCUGACAAUAGGUUUCACCACCCGAACCAACCUCGCUAUAUAACUGGUCUCUUUUUGCAUUGGUAUCUUAGCCCAUCUCAAACGUUACUUUAGAUUAGAAAUAAUGUCAUAUGUGUUAGCAUUCGUUUAAAUUAUUAAAUUAUUUUCAAAAGUAAAUAAAUGAGAGAAACAAGAGGACUGCAUGACAAUAUGUUAUAACCAGUGGCGGAGCCAUAAACUUUUUUUACCGGGGGCAUAAUUUUUUCAAAUAAUAUUUAAUAUUAAAUCAAUUAUUUAUAUAAUUAAAUAAAUAUUUAUUAUUAAAUAAAGUGAUAAACAACUGGUAUUUUUAAGUAAAUAUUUUUAUUAUUUAUACGAUUUAACAUAUAACUUAAAUAAUUUUAAUAAAAAAAUGUUUAUGGUAUUUGUAAAGAAAAUAACCUAAUCAUGGCUCAUGGGGAAAUAAUAAAAACCUAAUUAUCUCAUCAAAAUAGUUAACCAAUGAAAAAUAUAUAAAAGACUUAUUGAACAAAAGUUACUGAACAAACCUCUUUAAAUAAAAUACAAAAAUUCAUUGAAUAUUUUGUCAUGCAUAUUAGUGUAUAUGCAAAAUAGGAAAGUAUCAAUAAUUUAUUACAACUGAUAAAUAUGAGAUUUAAAAAAAAACGGAAAU